UACAGAGGUCCCAAGCGUUGUUCGGAUUCACUGGGCGUAAAGGGUGCGUAGGUGGCGAGGUAAGUCGGAUGUGAAAGCUCGGAGCUCAACUCCGAAAUGGCAUUGGAAACUACCUUGCUCGAGGGUUGGAGGGGGGACUGGAAUUCUCGGUGUAGCAGUGAAAUGCGUAGAUAUCUGGAGGAACACCGGUGGCGAAGGCGGCGUCCUGGACCAAUACUGACACUGAGGAGCGAAAGCCAGGGGAGCAAACGGG
rnacentral:rRNA from 1 species